AUCCAGCUGACGAGUCCUAGAUAGGACGAAACGCGCAUCCUGGAU
rnacentral:hammerhead_ribozyme from 1 species